rnacentral:lncRNA from 1 species
GACUAAGCUCAUGCACUAGGCCCCAACAGACCAAACCAAACAAAACGGAGUUGCUUGUGUGUUAAGAAAACACAUAGGUUCUAGAACAAACCAGAUUUUGUUUUUUUUCCUGCUGCAAAUCUUUGUAACAAACAUUUUUGAUAGCAUAGGUAUCCACCCCAUGAAGUUCACAAUCUUUUAACCAAAUUCAUUUCCUCUUGCCUAGAGACCAUCAAGCUUCACAUCAUCAUGCAACAAAGGUUCCAGCCAGUUCCAGGUGAAGACACCACCCCUGGCCAUCAAGAAGCUACCUUGCCUUCACCAGACAGAGCAGGAAUUUUUGAGUUGGGUGGAAGUAGUGACUAUAUGAAGCAACUACCACUGAAGGACCAGAAAAGAAUAACGACAAUAUUAAAGAAAACAGCCAUCUUGGAGUCCAGUUAUAUUUUAAUAAAAGAUUUGUUCUCUACCAAUGCCCUACACUGCUAACAGGAAACUGCCUUCUGGAUUUGUGGGAAGUUCACCAGCAGGAAGCGCCAGUGGAAAUUGGGAGGGGUAAGAGUAGGGGAGCAACUUAGGUAUCCCACCAUUUGCUGUGGCACCUAGCAUCUCUUCCUGGGCCUCAACUCUGCCAAAUGGCUCCGAUUUUUCAACUCUGAUAGCAAAAUCUGCUUUUUGUCCCUACAGGACUAGCAAGAGUAGUACCUCCUAUUAUUCAUAAUUUUGGGUUUGUUUGGUCCCUUGGCUCUUCCAUCUUCAGUGUAAUCAUUUACCUUCAUUAAAAA